GCAGAUAUGAGUGAAUCAUCGAAUCUUUGAACGCACAUUGCGCCCUCUGGCAUUCCGGAGGGCAUGCCUGUUUGAGCGUCGUU
rnacentral:rRNA from 1 species